rnacentral:rRNA from 1 species
UACAGAGGUCUCAAGCGUUGUUCGGAUUCAUUGGGCGUAAAGGGUGCGUAGGCGGCAGUGCAAGUCAGGUGUGAAAUCCCGGGGCUCAACCCCGGAACUGCACUUGAUACUGCUCUGCUCGAGUACUGGAGAGGAGACUGGAAUUUACGGUGUAGCAGUGAAAUGCGUAGAGAUCGUAAGGAAGACCAGUGGCGAAGGCGAGUCUCUGGACAGUUACUGACGCUGAGGCACGAAGGCCAGGGGAGCAAACGGG